rnacentral:lncRNA from 1 species
CCAGAUCUCAGCUCCAUGGACUUGGCAAGCCCACAUUUGAAUUUUGCCCUUUGAUCAUCAUCAGAUCACAAAAGAUCAUGCUGGUGUCCCUGCUUCUUCCUGGUGAUUCUCUACAACUUCUAUAGCUUGUACCACGCCACUUAGAGAAACAGAAAAGUAACUGAAGAGGAAUGUAGUAUACAGAAUGUGAACCAUACCUCAGUGAACAUCCCUUCUUUCUAAAAUUGUAAUUCAAAAGUUCCCUGCUGUCUUCUCUCUUCAUACAAACUUGGUUUUAUGUGUGUGUGUGUGUUUGUGUGUGUGUGUGUGUGUUUCUAACCUAACUUUUCUAGUUGUUUUUAGCAAGAACAUUGGUCAGCAGAAACUCAAGCUAUUUCUUCUUAAGUAGAAAUGGAAUGUAGAUAUUAUUUGAAUAUUUCAAUUAAGUAAGGUGAAUUAUAGGCUUGGGAUCUGUUAGGCUUCUUUCAGGGUGAAGUAAUUAUCACAUUCAUGACAAUAAAAACACGAAAAGGAAAACAUGAUUGAUGAUACAUACUAUGAGAGCUAUGUAAUUUAAUCAAUUUUAUAUAAUAUAAAGAAUUUUAUGCAACUUUAACACAGUAAUCUUUCUACCUUGCAAAUUUUUAGUACACAAUGCUGCAAGGAACAUGGGUAUACAGAUUAAUGGUAUUAUAAGUCUGUGCCUAAACAAUUUUUUUAAAAAAUACUAAAUAUACUGGAAUGUGCAAAAGAAGCACCUAAGAAAUGCUGGCUAUCAGAUUAUAACAGUGGGCUAUUAAAAAGAGAAUAAUGUAAUGGAAAUGAUUGAUAUAACUAUUCUGGUUAGAAACUGCAAAACAUUUCAGUUGACCUUAGACAAAAAAUGAAUAUGCAAUAUGACAAAAGAAGUAGACUGCAAAAAUGGCAAGAUAACUCAAAUAUUCUCUAAUUUACACACAUGCAUAAGUAGUAAUCUGUCAUGAAUUGGCACCACUUCAGCUGAAAUAAACCAAUAAAUUGUCAGUUUCAGCAUUUUGGAAAAGGCUUUAUUCAGCACCCAUUCACUCAGCCAAUAGUGGCUGAAUGACGGCAGAUACUUAGGCAACGAGGCUUCAUUACAGAAACGGUUUCUUCUGUACACUAAGAAUCUAGUGGAUGAAACACAAAUUAAUUGAAUAAUCACAGAAAUAUAUUUAUAAUUGUAAAUUGGAUACCUAUUAGAAGGAGAGAACAUUGAAUAAUGGCAGAACAGUGAACACAAUUACUGCCUAUCCAACAGCCACUACCACUUCUUGCUUUUUAGUCAUAGUCCCUCUUACACGGUUGAAGUAUUUUGCCACAUCCCCCUUCCUCCCUGCUGGGAUCUUCUUAACCAAGGUUGCCACGUUUGGGGCUCCAGAAGUAUCUUGCCAAGGUAAGGAAAUCAUCUGAGAAACACGGGAUGUCAAGUCAGAAGCUUUGCAUCUUGGCAUUGAGCCACUGUUAGCCACUAGAUUCAUCUAUGUAAAAUGAAUAAAACUCAUACAAUUACUUGGACAAUAUUCAGUUAUUUGGAGCUAAACACAUCUGUAUUAAAAAAAGCAAUAUGAACACACACACAAGCAUAUUCACUAGUAUAUGCUACUAUUAUCUCCAUGUAAUUGUUAACAUUUUAUAUAAUGAUAUUGUCCAACUAUUUUAAAUGAACAUUUACUUCAAAGACUUAAAUGUAUGUUUGAAAAAAGUGUUUGAGAAUUAAGGUUGACAGCAUUACUGUCUCCUGUAUGUCAGAGUACAUUUUAUUUUUCAUCACUUCAGUGAAAUGUGAAGCUAGAUACAGCCAUAGAAAACACCAAUAGAAAUUUAGCCUAUUGCUAUCAAAUGUCUUCAAUACAAUUUUUAAUGAAAUUCUCAUUUCUCUGCCUCACUAAUACAGCCUGUUAAAGCCAAUAAAGCAUUUUAGAACUCUUUAGAAAUAAGUGAACUCAAGGGAACAGUAUUUUCCAGGAAAAUGAUAAUGUGAUACAGAGCCUUUUAUGUUUGGGUCACUAGUUUGAAAGUAGCUCACGUUGUAAGUGAUGGAAAGUCAUUACUGUUCACUGGCCUAUGUGAAAUUAGUAGGUGGUUUCAGUCAAAUUGUUAGUGAAUAGGUGUUCACAUCCCAACUGGCAUUAAUUGACAUGCAUGUUGACAGUUUUAUUAUGAGUACCAAGGACUGUAGGCAAUGAAAAUAUGAUUUGGGGCACGUGACAAGUAACAGUCCACAAGGCCAGGCGAAGGUAUGUUUCUGAGAAUGUACCCAUGGAAAGAGUUUGAAAGUUUUUUCUUCUCAGGAGUUUCUUUGAAUGGUUUCUUUAGUGCUCAGAAUUUUUAAAUGGCAGAGGUUUAUUUAGAACAUUGAUUUGUUUUAUCUCUAAUGCUGCUCCAUAUUUUCAGAAUAUUAGUUUUUAAAUCCCAUGUUAUUUAGAGUACAUCCAAAAGCUAGUUAUCAAUUUUCUUAAACCAAUUAAGUUAUAACCUCUUGGCUAGAGCAAGUAAUCACUUGUUUUCUAGAUGAUUAUGAAAUUUAACCAACUUUGGAAGUAAAAUAGAAUGUACCUUAUAGAGAUUCACCAAAAUUCCUUGACUCAAAUAGCACUGAAAUAUAAUUUUUCUGUAUAGAAAAAUGUAUAGCUGUCUGUCUGAAUCUCCUAAUUAACUGUCAGGUGUAACUGGCAGAGGCUGAAAGGUCAAUUUAAUCAAAAUCUCAGAUAUACCAUCAAGUAAACAAAUAUAUACCGGACAAAGGCAAUGCUUAUAAAUUGUUCAAUUUUGUGAAAGUCUGAUAGUAAUGUCCAGUAGAUAUAAUUCUCUAAAUAGGUCUCUUUCUCUCUCUUGCUCUCUGACACACACAUGUAAACAUACACACCAAUUAGGAAAUAAGCCAUCCAGUAACCAUUUGUUACUGAGUACCUAUUAUUUUAUUAUUUUCUAGGAACUUUAGUCUUCUUCAAUAUGAUAGCUCAUCUAAUGCUCUCAAAACUCAUAAAGAUUGCCAUUUGUAUUUCCAUAUCAUAGGUGAAAGGCAAGUCUUAGAGGAGUAAAAGUGGUUAUCCAGGUACCAAUGACUAAAUAGGUCAGGUUUUACAUUCUGUGUUUUUGUGACUUCAAAAUCCAUGUUUAUUCCACUACACUAAUGGAGUGCCUAUUUCGAAUUACAAUUUAGCAUUCAUAAGCAAAUAAUUUCCGCUUUUUUAGCGAUCUUAUAUGAAAUAAGAGAUUAUAAAUAAAUGUAUUCCUAAAUCCCUGUUAGCUGACCUAUUAUAAGAUUAUGGCUAUAUUCUAGUUGUUGCAGGCAAGAAUUAGAAUCAUUAACUAUGUUCUAUCUAGAGUGCAUCUUAAUGGUAGGUGCUAUGCAGAGUGCAAGGGGAAGAAUACAGGAACUUGCUUAAAUGCUAGGAAAUGAAGAUUAGUAACUAUAUAGUAUGAACAUCAAGUUUUAUGUAAGGAAUAAGUCAAGAAUUUUAAUGGAUGAACAGUUAUUACCAGGAGAGGAAAACUGUAAGCAAAAAAAAAAAAAAAGCAAAUGAGAAAAUUAAGUCAAUAAUAUUUAAAAAGAAGAUAUAUAAUUGUGAGAACAAGUUUUACCAUGUAUGAAAUACAUAAUCAUUCCUGGGUGAGAUUUGUUGCCAUUAAUUCUUCUAUAGAAGGCUCUAGACUUGGAAUCUCACGACUUUAUGCACUUUUUUUUCUCUCAUAUCAAACUAAAGAAAGGCUACUCUGUUGGAUACACAUUAAGGGAUGGCAUCAUGAAUAUAGUGGAAAUUGGGUUGGGUCUCAAAGGAUAAGAAGAGUAACUGAAGGCAUAUAAAAUGAUUUUCCUAUGUACUUUAAAUUUCUCAUUCUGAUAGCAGGAUUACUAAAAUUCUUGGUAGAAAAUGUCUUUGCUUAGUAAAUUGCACUGAGUAUAAAACAAUGCUAGAGCAAGGGAAGAAAUGAACUGUUAAAAAUUAACUACAAAAGCUCAAUGGCAGAUUUUAAUGAGAUCAAUCUAACUGAGCCAAAAUUGAGGCUUUUUAUUACAGGAGCUCUAUGAUGCAAUUUUUUUAACAUUUGGAAAAUUACAAAAUUUUAUUAAUUCUGUAUACUACAGUUUAUUCAUAUUUAAGUAAAUACCAAAAUGAUAUUGAAUUUGAUUAAAAACUUUUAAAGCCUUCUGCUAAAAUUGUCUAUGGAGGCCAUGGAAGGAUCCUUUAAAAAUAAUAUCGCUGAUUGAUAGGAAAUUUUCACCCAUUGAGGAUGGGUUUGAUUUGAGAAAAUAGUAAGACCCAGUUUAAUAGCAGUAUGGCAAAUUAGGCAAAAGAUUCUAGGUGUGAAAUGCUGUUUUUGAUCAAAUUGAAGUGUGACUGAAAACUAACAUAAGUGAUUUGUGUGUCUGUGACUUAAAAACUAGGACUGAUGGCAAUUCCACAGGAAGAAUGAAAAAAUUUAAGCACCGUUAGAAUAUUUGAACAGUGUCUAAAAUCCUCUUGAAAUGGCUAUUGUGAAAGGAAAAACAAUCCCUAUUUCAAUAUUUUGCAAGUUUGUUAGAAAAUUUAAUUUUAUAUACUACUCAUAUUAGGUAUAGAAAGUAAAUAUAACAAACCAAAAUUGGACAUAUUAAAAUUCAUUUUAAUCAUCAGCAACAAAGCAGAAAGACUAACCUGUUUUAAAAAUUCAUUAAGUAUUUAGCCAAAAUUAUUUUAAAAUAGCAAAGGGAAAAAUAAAACCACUAGAGUAGAUAUUUCAAAAUCCUGGAUGACAGGUAAAUCAUUCAACACCUUUGAUUUUCAUAACUCUGGUAAUAUGCAGGCUUAUUUCGAGGUUAAAAUUAAAGAUUGCAUUCGGAAUUGUUUUGUCAAAUGCACAAUGCUGUAGAAAAGUUAAAAAUCUUGAUUGUGAUCAUUCACUUCCUUUUCAUUGUUAUUGUUGUGUUAGUGUUAUAUCAAGUAGGAUAUUGUAUUUGCCCAAUAACAUGUAAUUCGUUUCAAAGUGGCUCAAACAAUAAGUCCAUUUACUGUAUUGUGUAACAUUAAAUCCAAGGUAUUCGAGCUUCAAGACUGAUUAAUUUACUGACUCAGUGAUGUUAUCAACAAUCCGUCUUUCAUUUCAUUACCUUGUCAGCCGUGUGCUUGUCCUACUCUUUAUAAGACUGCUACUUUUUCAAGUAUCACAUCCAAACAUAGCAGUGGUCAGAGAGAGAGAGAAAAAAAUACUUUUCCUCUGCUGAAGAAUAAGGCUGCAUUUUCCAAGAUAUUUACUAGAUGUUUAGCACUCUCAUGUAACUCUCCCUCAGUCUUAUUGGCAGAGCUGGGAUAUACGACAACACUAAACAAGAAAUUGGCAAGAGAAAUGGAAUUAUUAUGAGGCCUCAGACAGGUUGGGAUUUUCUCAGAAUUGAGGAAGGGUCAAAUUCCCAGAGAAUGACUACCUGAGCUAAAUCAUGGCUGUGUUAGAAAGGUGAUCAACAAUAUACCCACACAUACCUAUUGGUUCAAAGAUUUUGUUGUUGUUACUGGAGAACAGUAAUUGGUUAUUUUUGUUUCCUAGAGCACUGGGGAAUCAAUAGUUGUGUAAUGCUGUAAAGUUCAUGUCUGUUACUCACAGAAAUACUACAUGUCUUUGCAGUAUAAGAGCAGUAGGUUUCUUCCUUUCCCACCCCAAAGAUAGCCAAAAGGCUGCCUUUGGGCUCAGGUUUUACAUGGUCUAUGUAAUCUACUAUAUAUAUUUGAAUGACCAAGUCAAUCAGAACUAUUUUCUAUGAAUUUUAAGGACAAGUUAUAAGUGAAAAAUUUGACGAGAUUUUAUAAAUAUUCAUGUAAUCACCACAUGUUUAUAGAAUUUUCAUUCACUUCCUUUUCAUUGUUGUUGUGUUGGUGUUAUAUCAGGUAGGGUAGAUCCAAAAAUUCCCUCAUUCUCCCCUUUUAGUCAAACUUCUACCUCACCGCAUAGCACUGACAACCACUGAUAUGCUUUCUAUCAUUUUAGUUAUUACUUUUCCAUAACUUUAUAUAAAUGGAAUUAUACAGUUUUUUUGUGUCUGGCUUCUUUCAUUAGCCACAGUAUUUAUGAGAUUCUUUCACAGUGUUGUAUUUAAUAAUAAUUUGUUUCUUUUCACUGGUGAGUAUUGAUAUACCGUAUGUGUUAAUCUCUUCACCAGUUGAUGGAUAUUCAUUAUGAAUAAAGCUACCUUAAAUAUUAAAAUAAACAUUCUUCUGUAGCAUAUGCUUUCAUUUCACUUGAGUAAACUUCUAAGAAUAGGAUUGCUGUAUCAUAGGGUAAGCUGUGUUUACCUGUAUAAGUAUGUAUUUAACUUUAUUAAACAACUACUCUUCAGAUGUUAAAAGUGGCUGUGCCAUUUUAGAUUGUCAGUCUCAAUGUAUGAGAGAUCUGUUUCACAUUCUUGACAACUGGUUAUUGUCCAUCUACUCUUAAUUUUAGCUAUUUUAUUCUUGAUUAGGAAUAUGUCAUUUGGUUUUAACGCAUGUUAUCUUAUUGCUAAUCAUGUUCAACAGCUUUUCAUGUGCUGAUUUGGCUUAUUUUCCUUUUGUAUACAUAUUUUUUAUGUAAAGUCACUGUUAAAAUAUUU